GAUGAACGCUGGCGGCGCGCCUAACACAUGCCAGUCGAACGGCACCCCUCCUCGGAGGGCAGCGAGUGGCGAACGGCUGAGUAACACGUGGAGAACCUGCCCCCUCCCCCGGGAUAGCCGCCCGAAAGGACGGGUAAUACCGGAUACCCCGGGGUGCCGCAUGGCACCCCGGCUAAAGCCCCGACGGGAGGGGAUGGCUCCGCGGCCCAUCAGGUAGACGGCGGGGUGACGGCCCACCGUGCCGACAACGGGUAGCCGGGUUGAGAGACCGACCGGCCAGAUUGGGACUGAGACACGGCCCAGACUCCUACGGGAGGCAGCAGUGGGGAAUCUUGCGCAAUGGGGGGAACCCUGACGCAGCGACGCCGCGUGCGGGACGGAGGCCUUCGGGUCGUAAACCGCUUUCAGCAGGGAAGAGUCAAGACGGUACCUGCAGAAGAAGCCCCGGCUAACUACGUG
rnacentral:rRNA from 1 species